CCUCCCCUUAGAGGUAUUGUGGGUGUGGCUGCUGUGUUGCACGUGUGUUGUAGGUGGCAGAGAGGAGAGAGGCCAAGUCUUUGCUCAGUGUUCUGACCUGUGGACAUCUGAAUGGUUAGUAGCCUAACAUU
ensembl:snoRNA LOC120101297 small nucleolar RNA SNORA17